rnacentral:lncRNA from 1 species
AGACAUGGACCUAAAUUCAGUGAGCAAUCAAAUACAUUGACCUAAGUUCGAUUACCAAAACUAGAUAUUUUAAACUUCAUUGACCAAUCAAAGAUGUGGACCUAAAUUCAGUGACCAUUGGAACAAUUAACUCGGAUAGAUGAUAAGUCAAGCAAAAAACGUUGGCUUUGUUUAAACUAUCCGUUCCAAGCAGACUCAAAUAACACUCGAGGGCCUGGAGGUUUGAUUUUUAUGCUCCAACCUAGCUUGAGCUUUAAAACAUUAACCUCAGUAAGCUUGACCUGAGCUGAACCCCUUGUUUAUAUUGGUUGAACUUAAGCUUGAGUCCUAUAUUUGCCGAAGCUAGUGUGCUUGGCUCAUUUGCGCAUUCGUAUUAAGUCUGAUUUCUUUGUUACAUAUAAUUCGUGUUUUCUAAAAAUAUUCCAUCCAAAAUGCUCUUAUGAACCCCUUUCCUGCUUCGAAAUUAUUUUAACUUGACUGAUAAAACCAUGUUCAAGCAUGGUUUAAAUUUUCACAUGUGACGAGGCUCUUAUGUUAUACCCACUAUUUCUCUCCCCAAACAUAGAAAUGAUAGAUAUGGAAAUUAAAUGUCCAUCCACAGCCUGUGCAGUACAAAUAGAUAUUGGAAAUGCACUUGGUUUAAGCAAUGUUUAAUGUAGAAUAUUAUGUCUGAACAUAUUUUGUACAUGAAAUGCAUGUUUGCCUAUUUAGGUUGACUUAUUUGCUAAUUGCAUCUCCUAGAAAAACCUAUAUAAACAUUCCAUUGAUUUGUUUUAUAUGUAUUUAAAUUCUACUUGCUUUCAUAUAGGAUAGAACACUUUCUAUUUUGUGGUCCAUGCUAUUCUUUAACUUAUUUCUUGAAAAAUGAGUUUGGAAUAAACAGAAUUUUGCUCCAUUUUCCUUGUGUAUCACGUGUACAUUUUUGUACUUUUUUAUGAUAUUUUAAGUUUCCUCAUCUUCAAUUUACAGGGUGGGUGUUCAUGUGUCAUAUUUUGCAUUUAAUUUAAAGAUGAAAACUUAUUCCACAGAUUUAUGGCAUGCACUU